GCAAUCAGCCACAGGAUCUGGAAAACAGGGCUUCCCGUUCGCUCAGCCGUACUUAAGCCAGAUACCGAUUGGUUAGUACCAAGGUGGGGGACCACUUGGGAAUCCCAAUUGUUGAUUGUU
rfam:Fonsecaea pedrosoi CBS 271.37 unplaced genomic scaffold supercont1.2, whole genome shotgun sequence.